rnacentral:rRNA from 1 species
AGCGGAGGGAUCAUUACUGAGUUAUUAAAACUCCAAACCCUUUGUGAACCUUACUGUCGUUGCCUCGGCGUGAGCUACGGCUACCUUGUAGUUACCCUAUAGCUACCCUGCAGCUACCCUAUAGUUGACCAGUGGCUACCCUGUAGUUACCCUAUAGUUACCCUGCAGCUACCCUAUAGUUGACCAGUAGCUACCCUGUAGCCGGCUUAUGGCCCGCCGAAGGACCGCUAAACUCUUGUUUUUUACCACUGUUUCUCUGAAUUGUAAACUUAAAUAAGUUAAAACUUUCAACAACGGAUCUCUUGGUUCUGGCAUCGAUGAAGAACGCAGCGAAAUGCGAUAAGUAAUGUGAAUUGCAGAAUUCAGUGAAUCAUCGAAUCUUUGAACGCACAUUGCGCCCAUUAGUAUUCUAGUGGGCAUGCCUAUUCGAGCGUCAUUUCGACCCUUAAGCCCCUGUUGCUUAGCGUUGGGAAUCUACAGCGUAGUUCCUUAAAGUUAGUGGCGGAGUUAGGGUACACUCUCAGCGUAGUAAUCUUUCUCGCUCGUGUGGUGGCCCUGGCUGCUAGCCGUUAAACCCCUAUAUUUUCUAGUGGUUGACCUCGGAUUAGGUAGGAAUACCCGCUGAACUUAAGCAU